rnacentral:rRNA from 1 species
GACGAACGCUGGCGGCGUGCCUAAUACAUGCAAGUCGAACGCUUUGAUUUUCACCGGAGCUUGCUCCACCGAAAAUCAAAGAGUGGCGGACGGGUGAGUAACACGUGGGCAACCUGCCCAACAGAGGGGGAUAACACUUGGAAACAGGUGCUAAUACCGCAUAAUUUGUUUUUCCGCAUGGAAGAAUAAUAAAAGACGCUUCGGUGUCACUGUUGGAUGGGCCCGCGCUGCAUUAGUUAGUUGGUGGGGUAACGGCCUACCAAGACCAUGAUGCAUAGCCGACCUGAGAGGGUGAUCGGCCACACUGGGACUGAGACACGGCCCAGACUCCUACGGGAGGCAGCAGUAGGGAAUCUUCGGCAAUGGACGAAAGUCUGACCGAGCAACGCCGUGUGAGUGAAGAAGGUUUUCGGAUCGUAAAACUCUGUUGUUAGAGAAGAACAAGUGAGAGAGUUACUGUUCUCACCUUGACGGUAUCUAACCAGAAAGCCACGGCUAACUACGUGCCAGCAGCCGCGGUAAUACGUAGGUGGCAAGCGUUGUCCGGAUUUAUUGGGCGUAAAGCGAGCGCAGGCGGUUUCUUAAGUCUGAUGUGAAAGCCCUCGGCUCAACCGAGGAAGGUCAUUGGAAACUGGGGAACUUGAGUGCAGAAGAGGAGAGUGGAAUUCCAUGUGUAGCGGUGAAAUGCGUAGAUAUAUGGAGGAACACCAGUGGCGAAGGCGACUCUCUGGUCUGUAACUGACGCUGAGGCUCGAAAGCGUGGGGAGCAAACAGG